CUUUUCCUACGGGGCGCAGCAGUGGGGAAUAUUGCACAAUGGGCGAAAGCCUGAUGCAGCAACGCCGCGUGAAGGAGGAAGGUCUUCGGAUCGUAAACUUCUGUCCUUGGGGAAGAUAAUGACGGUACCCUUGGAGGAAGCCCCGGCUAACUACGUGCCAGCAGCCGCGGUAAUACGUAGGGGGCAAGCGUUAUCCGGAAUUAUUGGGCGUAAAGAGUGCGUAGGUGGUUACUUAAGCGCGGGGUUUAAGUCAAUGGCUCAACCAUUGUUCGCCCUGCGACCUGGGUUACUUGAGUGCAGUAGAG
rnacentral:rRNA from 1 species